rfam:Asian citrus Psyllid, Diaphorina citri - Florida Strain, whole genome shotgun sequence.
GCUCUCAUGGCGUAGUGGUCACUGCACUCGCCUUGCACGCGGGAGACCCGGGUUCGAUUCCCGGCGGGGUCA